rnacentral:snoRNA from 1 species
AUGUGAUGCCUCUGAUGAAGCCUAUGUAGAGACAUCUGAGAAUGUAGAUGAAUGCCAAUGGCCCUCAUGGAAAGAG